rnacentral:rRNA from 1 species
UACGAAGGGGGCUAGCGUUGUUCGGAUUUACUGGGCGUAAAGCGCACGUAGGCGGAUUGUUAAGUGAGGGGUGAAAUCCUGGAGCUCAACUCCAGAACUGCCUUUCAUACUGGCAAUCUAGAGUCCGGAAGAGGUAAGUGGAACUCCUAGUGUAGAGGUGGAAUUCGUAGAUAUUCGCAAGAACACCAGUGGCGAAGGCGGCUCACUGGCCCGGUACUGACGCUGAGGAGCGAAAGCGUGGGGAGCAAACAGG